CAGUUCAGAGUAGACUACCAGCAAAUCAAGCAGCUUCCUCGAGGCGAGGCCGUCUACUCCGACGUCAUCUCCGCCGGGGGACACCUUUGGAGGAUUGAGUGCUUCCCGCAUGGGGAGAGCGAGGACGACAAGGGCGAGCAUGUUUCUAUCUUCCUCGUCCAUUUGAGCAAAUCCAGAUGCGUCAGGGCCAUCUUGGAGGUCUUCAUACUGGGUAGGGAUGGCAAACCAUCUAUGUCGGGCAUACAAAGGACAUUUGAAACCUUUGGGAUUAUGGGAGAUGAAGGCCCCGCCGAUUCUUGGGGGUGGGAUCAGUUCAUCAAGGGAACUAUUUUGGAGGAAGACUACUUAAUAGGGAGAUACGUCACAUUUCUAUGUGCCAUCAUGGUCAUCGAUGACAGUCCUAUUCCCCUGCCGCCUUCGGACAUUGGAACUCAUCUUGGCUGCCUGCUAGAUAACAAUGACGGGACAGAUGUGUUAUUCAUCGUCAGUGAUGAGACAUUCCAUCCUCAUCGGGCGGUGCUUGCUGCCCGCUCACCGGUCUUUAGAGCAGAGCUCUUCGGUUCCAUGUCUGAGGCUACAAUGUCAUCCAUCACGCUGCACGACAUCACACCUGCAACAUUCAAAGUUAUGCUUCGGUUCAUUUACACGGAUGAAUUGCCUGGAGAAGACAGGCUUGAGGACUCCUCUGCUGAGAUGUUUCAGGAUCUACUCGCUGCGGCCGAUCGGUAUGCAUUGGAUUGACUGAAGGUUAUUUGUGCCCAGAAGUUAUGGGAGAAAGUGUCUGUAGAUACAGUUGCAACUAUCUUAGGUUGGGCUGAAACCUACAACUGUCAGGAGUUGAAGAACAAGUGCAUUGACUUCUUUGUGGUGGAGGAAAAUUUCAAGGAGGCCAUGUUCACCGAUGGUUAUGCGCUACUGGUGCUGAAAUUCCCAUCGAUUACUGUGGAGCUCAAAAGGAGGGUUAGGGCAUAA
rnacentral:rRNA from 1 species